GACGAACGCUGGCGGCGUGCUUAACACAUGCAUGUCGAACGGAAAGUCCCUGCUUUUGUGGGGUGCCCGAGUGGCGAACGGGUGAGUAACACGUGAGUAACCUUCCCUUGACUUUGUGAUAACUUCAGGAAACUGGUGUUAAUACCGGAUAGGAGCUCCUGCUGCAGGGUGGGGGUUGGAAAGCUUCGGCGGUUGGGGAUAGACUCGCGGCUUAUCAGCUUGUUGGUGGGGUAGUGGCUUACCAAGGCAUUGACCGGUAGCCGGCCUGAGAGGGUGACCGGGCACAUUGGGACUGAGGUACGGCCCAGAGUCCUACGGGAGGCAGCAGUGGGGAUUAUUGCACAAUGGGCGGAAGCCUGAUGCAGCAACGCCGCGUGCGGGAUGACGGCCUUCGGGUUGUAAACCGCUUUCGCCUGUGACGAAGCGUGAGUGACGGUAAUGGGUAAAGAAGCACCGGCUAACUACGUG
rnacentral:rRNA from 1 species